CUGCGGGAUGAAGAGGAUCUUCGGGUUCGGGAGGAAGAGGAAGGGGCAGCCGCCACCCGGCAGCGCCUCCCUUCCCUGUCCCGCCGGUGCCUACGAGCUUCGGCAGAAGGACCUGGGCAAGCUGCACCGCGCGGCCGCCAGCGGAGACCUAGCCCAGGUGCGGCAGGGACUGAGGAAAUACAGCAUCGACGGGCGGGACAAGGCGGAGCGGACAGCUCUGCAUCUUGCUUGUGCAAACGGCCAUGUGGAUGUAGUUACGUUUCUAGUAGAAAACAAGUGUAAGCUAAAUCUUUUUGACAGUGAUAACAGAUCACCACUGAUGAAGGCAGUACAGUGCCAGCAAGAAAAAUGUGCGGCUAUUCUGCUAGAACAUGGUGCUGACCCAAAUCUGGCAGACGCUGAUGGCAACACUGCCCUUCACCUGGCUGUCCUGUCUGGUUAUACUACUGUAGCAGGGCUGUUACUCCAGCAUGAUGCCAAUAUUGAUGCCCAAAAUAAGGAGGGAUGUACCCCUCUUUUUCUUGCUGUCUCCGAACAUCAUGAAGAAAUAAUGGAGUUUCUCCUUAAAAAAGGAGCUAACGUGCAUGCUCGAGAUCAAUGUGAAAGAACCCCACUUAUGACUGCUGCUUCUGGUGGAGAGCUUAAUGUGAUAAAGGUUCUUCUUCGGUAUGGUGCUGAUGUUUCCCAUAAAGACACUAACGGAUGGACAGCUGAGGAUUAUGCUGUUAUUCAUGGAUAUUCUAGUCUUAGCAAACAACUGGCAGAAUAUGCAGACUGGGAAAACACAGGAGAAGCUUCUACAGGUGGUGGUGUACGAGGCAUCACAGCACUUGGCACUCCACACAGGGCAGCAGCUGCUGGCUUUACACUGGGUGCACCUGCUGUGGACAGAGGAGGAAUGCAGCAAUCUCCUAACCAGACAUCAAGAACAGGAAAAUCAAGGAAAGCAAUAGAUGACUUCUCCCAAGGAGACUCAAUAAGAAGCUCUGAGAAAGAGGAGAGUGAUGACAGUUGGCAUACCUCUGAGGAAGAGGAACUUGAUUUUACCCCCAAGAAGCUGCAGAAACCAAACCUGACGCUGUUAAUGAAUGCUUCACAGCAGUUCAGGAAAAAUAAUGAUGGUGAUGGUUCUAGAAUUGAAAGUCCUAAGUCACCAAAGAAAAGUCUCAAACAAAGAAUCCCAUCAGAUGCAAAUGUGAACAAAGGGGACAGUGAAGAAUUGCUUAAUCAAGAUGUCUCAGCUGCAAGCAACCUGGAUGAAGAAGAAUUGGAGGAGGAAGAGGAGGAGGAAGAGGAUGAAAAUGACAAUGAAGAUGGUGAUGAAGAUUAUGAGGAGGAAGAGGAGGAGGAGGAUGAUGAUGAAGAUUUUACUGAAGAUGAAAAGGAGGAAGAAGAGCUGAAGGAUGAAGAAACUCAGUCUAAUGAAAUACUGGAAGAGGAGAAAACAGAACCUGAAGGGGAAAUGAAUCAGAAAUUAGAGUAUUUCAGUAAAGAAAAGCAUGAAGGGGGUGCUCAAUGGGGAACAGGCAAUGUCUGUGAUGAUGAUGAAAUAAAUAAAGAACAUAAUGAAAAGGCAGAGGAAUCUGUUGAUACUCCUGUGUCUUUCAUAGCUGCGUCUUGUGAAAGGUUUCAAGACAAUAAAACAGCAGUGUCUCCAAAGAUCAUGAAUAAUGAAGUAUCUUGCAAGUCAGUACCAAAACAAGCUGUCUUUCAAAAUCUAAAUAAUCUGCAAGAUGUGCAAGAAAGCAGGAACAGAAAAAGCAUGAUUGAGGAGAAAUUUCACAGAAAUGCUGACUCCUGUUUUCCAAACUCUGAAGUAACAGACUGGAAAAAAGAGAUUCCUCAGCCUCUCUUAGAUAGUUGUGGUGUUAAGGAGAAAAGGUCAAACUUCAGUGAUGGCUUUGAAAGUGGCAAUAAUUCUUGGUUAGCAGAAAAAAACUUGGGACCUGCAAGUGAAAGACCAACCUCUGUCAUACUUGAAUGUGUGGGUAGUGAAGAUACUGAAGAAGAGGAAUAUGAAGGAGUAGAUGAUGAAGUCUGUAAACCACUGAAAAAAGAAAGUAAAAACUUGCACUUAAAUAAGCAAGAAGAAAAUUUGAGAGCAGCAUUUCAUUCAAGCAGCGAAGAAGAAUCAUCUGAACAUGAAGAGAAUGAAGGUGCUGGCAAAAAGCUACAAAUUACAGUUGCUGAAGAUGUGAAAAAUUCUGUUUGUAAUGAUAGGCAUGAAGUCCACAAAGCUUCAAAGGACAACUCUGGUGCCCUUCCAACAAUGGGAGCAGAGCAAGAGGAAGAUGCUGAAUCUCCCUGGGAUUCUGAGGUUACACAGGCGGAUUCUGAAGUGCCAAGAAAAAUACCAUGUGGUGUGCUGCUCCCAGCUGCAGAGAGACAUGGAGCAUGCUCCCAGUUUAUUUCAGGGGAAAGUGACAAUGGCUUUUUGGAGAAACCCAACAAUUUACAGCUGAAGACUCCCAUAUCUGCUUUGGAAAUGAACAAAACUUCUCCUGAAAACAGGCAGCAGAAAUCAGAUCUAUUGCAGGAAUUUGAUUUAGAAGAUGUCGAGGAUAUUGAAGGUGAGUACUCCGGAUCUACUUUUUAUAUGUCGUCAGCAGCUGAAAAAGAAGAUGAUAAGGAUGCCAUUGAAAACUAUGGAGUGUGGGAUAAAUAUAUUUUAGAAACUACCAGCUUGAUAGAAAAAACAGCACAUGAAAAUCAGACUGACAAAGCAGAAGUUUCACAUCAGGAAGCCCUAACAAAAAAUGAGGAAUCGUACAGUGCUGACAAGGAGUUAAAUCUAAAACCUUGGGAAGAAAGAUAUGAAAAAAUGUGGGUUGAAAAUGAGAAAAGGGAAUUGAAAACAAAUUUUAAAAACAUUACAGCAGAGUUGAAGCAGUUGUUUGGUGAAAAUGAAGUUGGGGAAACUACUUGCCUUGUGGAAGAAAUACCAGAAGAUGGCUUUGGUGAAGAAUUGAAGAGUUCUCACAUUAUUUCAUCUCCUGUGACUGAAUCAAGUAAUAAUUUAGAAACCCAAGGUGAAUUUGGAGGUAUUAAGCUAGGUGGGAAAAUACCCAAAAUGGAAAUUGUAUUUCCAAGUCGUGCUGUUCUUCCUGAUCAAAAGAGCUUAAAGACAAAUGUAGAAGAUACCUGGAAUACAGAUGAAGAAGCUGGCAUUAACAAUGUAGAUAACAGAAGGGUGUCUCUAGCUAAAAGAGAGAAAAAGAAAAUGCCUACUAUGGAAACAGAAGAGUAUGAUAAUGGAGAUAGUAAAAAUGCAGAGGAAGGUCCUGCUUCCUCCCUGAGACAUAGUUUAAAAUCAAGUAUUUUCGGUGACAUUUGUAAUAUUCUUCCUAAAAUAAGACCUGUUUGUGCAAGUGAUGAAAGUGCACAUUCUGUAACAGAAAUGAAACUUAAAAAGUACUCUGGAUUUAAUGAUGAUGUUCCCAAGAACUGCCAUAUCAACAGUAAUAUAGGAGAAACAGAAACUGAAAGUCUUUUCACUAGUGCUCAGGAAUCAUGUGACAUGCUGGAAAGGAGUCUUGAUGAAGAGCUAAAACGAGAUAUGGAAAGAUUUAAGAGUAAGGUAGGAAUGCUGCAAACAGUAUUCCUGGCUUUGGAGAAAGAGAAGGUACAGCUGCAAAAAGAGGUUGAGAAGGAAAAAAGCAAAGAAAUAUGUUUCAAUAUGCAGACAGUGGCAAAAGAGGAAAAUUUUGAUAAAUUAAAUACACCACCAGGCAACAUUAAUAAUAAUCAGCAGAUAAAAGAAAAGCUUACACUGAGGAAGAGUGACUCUUUGAAAAUGGAAGAUGAAAACACUACAGAAGAAAAAGUCAACAAGAAUUUUUCACCUGAGGAGAGCAAAUUUGCCCUGAAUCAUGAUGUUGCAAAGAAAAAUAUAGGACAGACUUCAAAGCAGAAGGCUAAUCAGCAGAUGAGCUCUUCCAGUGGGAAUAAUUUUCGAGUACCAGAUGAUAGCACUUUCAGUGAAACAUCUCAAGAGGAAGGAAGACCUGCAGCAAAAACAGCGAGUGAAAAGAACAAGGUCAGCAUACAAAUGGAUGUAACUGAUGACCUUGAUUUAACUCACUCAUCUGAUACAACAUCAGAGGAUGUCAAAUUACCAACAUCCACCUACAAAGAGGCUGUGUUGCUCUUAGAACAGCUUACUGUGGAUCAUACAGGUUCUGCUAUUUUACUGAAGAUUCAAAACAUACUUCUUAAAUAUGAACAAAUAAUAGAGCAUGAAAAAAAUCGGUAUGCAGCGGUCUGGAGAGAAGUAAGAAAAUUGGAAAGUGAAAAGGAGGAAUCAAAAUUAAUAGCGGAAGAGACUCAAGAUUUGAAAUCCAUAUUGGCUCAUCAAGAAGUGGAAUGGAAAAGUGAUAUCCAGAGCCUUAAGUUUACUUUGAAACAAGAAGAAGAAAAGAGGCUCAGAGUAGAAACACUAUAUGAGAAAACAAAAGAAAAACUCAGAAGGAAAGAAGAGCAACAUUGUAAAGAGAUGGAGGAGAAACAGCAACUUGAGUUACAAUCAAGGAAUUUAGAAAUGGAGUUAGUAACACUGAGAAAGCUCUUCAAACAGGUUGAAGACGAGCGUGAUGAAACACAGAGACAGCUCUCUCGGGAAAAGAGUGCCAGAGCCCUGCAAGAAGGCAUUUUGAACAACCACCUUUGGAGGCAAAAGGAACUAGAAGAAGAGACAAGAAGAACUAUAGGAAAAAGUUCAGAUGAAUCCGACAGUGAGAGAGAAAAGGAUCUGUUGUACAAAAAUCAGUUACUGCAAGAUGAGAUUGCCAUGCUAAGACUAGAACUUGAUCAAAUAAGACUUAGGCACCAGGAGGAAGAAGGAAAAUAUUUAGAGGAAAUUGAGACCUUGAAAGAAAAAAAUGAAGAUCUCCAAAAAGAACUUAAGCUGAAUGAAGAAGCCUUAACACAGACAGUUUUUCAGUACAAUGGACAACUGAACUUACUAAAGACAGAAUCCACAAUGCUAACUUCCAAACUUGAGCAGACAAAAGAAAGCAAAGACAGACUAGAGACAGAAAUGGAAUCAUUUCGUUCCCGCCUGAACACUACUGUUCAAGAACUUGAACGUCACCAGUCAUCAAGAAGCGAUGUCGAACGAACGUUUCAGAGAGAACGUGAUGAAUGGCUUCGCUUGCAAGACAAGCUCCAUCAUGACCUCUCAGAUGUGCGAGAAGCCAACAAGAGCUUGUCUCAGCAGCUGAGUAAUGCUGAAAGCAAGGCUAAUAGUCUAGAAAAUGAGCUUCACCAGUUAAGACAAACGCUCAGAGAGAAAACAUUGCUUUUAGAAAUGACACAAAAAGAAUUAAGUCAAACCCAGUGUCAGGCAAAGGAAUAUGAUCAUGCUCGACAGCUUGAGAAAGACCAAGUAAACAAACUUAUAAUAAAGCAGGAAUCCAUGCAGGAGCGAUUGGCCCAGCUCCAAAGUGAAAACCUUUUGCUCCGUCAGCAAAUGGAAGAUCUGCAGAACAAGGGGAUCAUCAAAGAAAAAGUAGUUAAUGAUGUGCAAGAUCGGUUUAAUGAUAUUUUCAACAAACUCAGAGCUGAUACUGAAAAGCAAGUUUACCUAGUGGAAGAGAGAAACAAGGAAUUAAAUGCCAGGUGUAUUGAUUUAAGAGAACAAGUCUUCAAAUAUGAGACUGACAAAAUAGAGAGAGAGGGCACGAUCAGACAGCUGCAGCAGGAGCUUGCUGAUACUCUUAAAAAGCAAUCUAUGUCAGAAGCUUCACUUGAAGUCACUACACGCUACCGCAGUGACCUGGAGGAAGACAAGCUGCGCUUGCAAAAGGAAUUGGAAAAGGCUAAAACCAAGUUACGGGAGGUGGAAGAAAACUAUCUUCAGUCUGAGCAUUGUGUUCGUGACUUGAAGACUGCCUUGGAUGGUAAGGAAAGAGAAGCAACAGCUUCUGCCCAGAAACUGCAGGACCAGCUGUUGGCAUCUUCUGAGACUAACACUACUAUAAAACAACUGGAAGAACAUGUGCAACACCUUGAAAUUGAAAACACCAAAUUGGAAGCCACUGUCCAGCAACAAAGCAACAGGAUUGAAGCCCUGCAGAGAGACCUGCAAGCCUCUGCCUCAGUCCAUAACCGCUUGGAAGACUUGAUAAUGAGCUUACAGACAGCACAAGCAGCUGCAGAGGAUCACCAGAAGCAGGCGCAAAAGAAGAAUGUGCUGGCUCUGACAUCAAAGGACUUGCAGAGCAUAUGGGAAGAGCAGUUUAAAUCAAGAUCUAACCUCGAAGAGCGUGUUGCUCAACUUGACAGGGAAAAGGCAGAUCUCUUUGAACAGUGUGAGAGUGAAAGAAAGAAAGUGAAGAAACUGAUAGAGUUAAAACGCCCAGUUGAACUCCGUCUGGACCAAGAAAUGAGACGAAACUUAGAAUUGCAGAAAGACUUUAAGAGGUUGAAGAGACUUCUCAGUAGAGCUACGAAGAAAAUAAAGGUGUAUGAGGAAAGAGAAAUGGAGUCACAGCUUAAUUUGAAGGGAGAAAUGAAGAGCAGAUAUUCUGAAAUGGUCAGUGAAGUUGAUAGAUUGAGAACAAAGGUUGCUGAACUUUCCCAGCAGCUGGACAUGGAGUCUAAAAAAAGCAUGCAGCUAGAAGCCCAAAACCGGGAUUUGCGAGAAGAGCUAUCUACCCUGCAUGGGACCUGUGAGAAACUGGAGAAGAGCAAAUGCCAGCUGAAAGAAGAAGUGGCAAAACUCCAACAUCACUUGGAGACUAACAUGGUGGAUCACAGCCAAAUAGAACAGUAUAAAAGAGAGGUUGAUGAACGAGCAGGCCAAGAAAUAAGACAAAAGCUACAAGAAGUCAAUCUGUUUUUGCAAGCACAGGCAGCCUCCCAGGACAGACUAGAACACAUCAGAGCAAGUCAUCAUGCUUCUCUGAGAAACCAGCUAAAAGACAGAAUUAGAGAUCUUGAAUGUGAAUUGGACAAGAUAAAAAAUACUCAACAAGAGAGUACAUUUCCAAAAGAAUGUGUACAGGCAGAAGUGGAAAAGUACAAGGAGCUGUAUCUGGAAGAAGUGAAAACUAGACGAUGCCUAGCAAAGAAACUGGAAAGAGCUAAUGAGAGACUUGAAGAAGCCAAUGCUAAGCUCCUCCAGGAGCGCCAUAAAAGCAAAUCAUUAAUCACAAGCAGCAUUGUCAGUGGAGGUCUGGCUGCAACUCCAGUUCUGUAUUCAACUGCACUGGGACAUCUUGGCAACAAUUUGGGACUGAGCAGAAGUCUCAGUCUAGGAGGAAGCUUCCUCACCCCAGCUGAGAACACAUUAUCCUCAAGAAACAGGGUUGCAGCCUUUGUGGCCAAGGUACGACAGGAACUGGAUGAAAAAAUCACUAAGGAACUGAAAGAAGCCACUGCUGAACUUGAAACUGGAUGUGCUGCAUCUUCCAAAAACCUUCAUGUGGACCAGGAUCCCCUUUGCAGAGCAAUAGAGGAGUACCGUGAUGUUUUAACCAAAAAUUACAUGAUUUGAGUGAAAUGCUGUGGAAAGGUGCUGAACAUUUUUUGCUUUUAUAGAAAGCACAUCUAUGGUUUCCCUUCUCCCCUGUUCAGAUGUGAAAACUUGUUCAUUGCAGUCUGAGUAUAAAUUCUAUUAAAUGUAUGUCAAGCACAAGUGCACUCAUCUGUUGGGUUUUUUCUGCAUAGCUGGCUUCUUUUGCACUCACAGUAAGAACCACAUUCAUUUUUUUCUGACCAGCAGAUUGACUGAUCUGGAUUCUUGAGCUUGACAAAACUGUCAGAAAUGUUUCCUCUUACAGUAGCUUCAUUAUGUUGCAUUAUUCAUGUUCUGUGUUUUAACAAAGCAUUCCCUUUGUUCUGUUUAAUCCGUUCACUCAAUGUGUUUGUAAGUUCUCCAGUAUUAUUUCAAUGCUUAGGACAUCAUUUGAUGUGCUUUGAGCCCAGUGCUUCAAUCCUGAUGCAGUGACUAAGUUCUGCUAAUUAACUUAAAGUGGUGUUCAAGCUGGAGAAAAGGGCACUUUACAUUGUUGUCACUUUAUGCAACCUAAGUUUAAAAUGACGGUGAGUGUGUAGUAGUGCCAAGACUUGUUUUAUGGUCUUUUUGGUAUUUUUAUUUUGUGUCACAGAAUGAGUGAGAUUGGAAGGGACCUCUGGAGGCUAUUUGUUCUAGCCCUCCUGCUCCAGGAGGACCACCUUUAGCUAGUUUCCCAGAACUCUGCAGAGCUCUCCUGUGCUCACAGAUGCACCUUGCCUGUCCCCCUGUAAGAGACUGACCUGCUGCAGAUGAAUGACUCAAACACUGGACCAUUUGCAGUAACUGCCCAGGUGCUGCAAGAGACUGGACUGGCUCAAACAAUCAGCUGGGUGCUUGGCCAGUGAUGCAGAGUGGCCUCCCUGCUGCAGGUGGGUGUGCACAUGAGGCUACAAAUGGGGUUUCCAGAUAAGGGAAGAGGCUGAUAAGAGGCAAAUCCUGCAAAGUGGGAUAGUCUUUCUUACCAUGCCAGUAUCUUCCCUUACAUAAUGGCUCAGCUGUGAGAACUCCCCUCUGAAGUACCAUAGGAUGAAGGUAUUUAUCUUGGCUGAUGGGCCAUGAUUAAUUGAGCUAUACUGGGUAAGUGACAUCUGCAGCACCUUAGAUGAUGUCACUGGAUGUCAUGAAAUGUCCCAUGAUCCAGUACUACAUCAUCCAGGGGAAUUACAGGGGCCUUUCCACCUAGCCUUAGCCAAUAUAAACCCCAUAGACCUGGGCUUUUUCCUCCCCACUUGAUGGAUACAGUCUGCAACCACCACAGCAACAGGACUGCAACCGCCAACAAGGUAAGAGAACCAACAGGCUGUCAUUGGAACCUAUGGUGAUACUUCUGAUAUUUUGUUGCAUCCUGGGGUUCGGGUUUAGAUUAGGGGUUUUUAAUUUAUGUUAGAUAGCCAAGUUCUGUAAUCCCGCGCACCCCCUGUGUUUCCCCCCUCUGCAGUUACUCGCUCCGAGGCUGCCUGCCAUUGGAGUGUCCCUGCCGCCACUCCUGUGACCACUCCCCGCCCUGGCCAGAGAGUUCCCCGCAAGUCACCCUGAUCCCGCAUCCCCACUAGCCCAGGGACCUUGUCCCACCCCCCCAUAAAAUCCUACACCAUCCAAGCAUUUCCACCGAACCGCGCCACGUGACCAAUAAACCGUUCCAGCCCAGCAUGGAGUAAAUGGACAAUUCCUUACUUCUUUACCGGAUCCCUAGCGCACGGCAACCGAGGCUGGCCAGCCCACGCGCCCGGGACAUGGAGGACGUGUCCGGGAACCCGCGGCAGCAAACCCCGACAACACGUGGAAGCUACACCACAGCCGGGCUCCCAAGAGCUGCGUGCAGCUGCGGAGAACAAAAGCCAAUGCUGCAAUAUUUAGUCUGUUUCUCAGUCUCUCUUUCACCCUUCUCUCCCUCUCCUCCUCCAGCUGUCUUUUUCCUAUCUCUCUCUACCUCACAUUUACUGUUAAAUAAAAAUCUCUACUAAUGCCUUUGG